rnacentral:rRNA from 1 species
GACGAACGCUGGCGGCGUGCCUAAUACAUGCAAGUCGAACGCAGUGGGGACGGGUGAGUAACACGUGGGUAACCUCCCAUCAGAGGGGAUAACACUUGGAAACAGGUGCUAAACCGAUAAUAAUGGAUGGACCCGCGGUGCAUGAGCUCGUUGGGUAGGUAACGGCCCACCAAGUCCAAGAUGCAUAGCCGACCUGAGAGGGUGACGGGCAACACUGGGACUGAGACACGGCCCAGACUCCUAAGGGAGGCAGCAGUAGGGAAUCUGCGGCAAUGGACGAAAGUCUGACCGAGCAACGCCGCGUGAGUGAAGAAGGUUUUCGGAUCGUAAAACUCUGUUGUUAGAGAAGCGGUAUCUAACCAGAAAGCCACGGCUAACUACGUGCCAGCAGCCGCGGUAAUAC